GGAGGAUCCAAGCGUUAUCCGGAAUCAUUGGGUUUAAAGGGUCCGUAGGCGGUUUUGUAAGUCAGUGGUGAAAGCCCAUCGCUCAACGGUGGAACGGCCAUUGAUACUGCAAGACUUGAAUUACUAGGAAGUAACUAGAAUAUGUAGUGUAGCGGUGAAAUGCUUAGAGAUUACAUGGAAUACCAAUUGCGAAGGCAGGUUACUACUAGUGGAUUGACGCUGAUGGACGAAAGCGUGGGUAGCGAACAGGAUUAGAUACCCUGGUAGUCCACGCCGUAAACGAUGGAUACUAGCUGUUGGGGAGCAAUCUCAGUGGGYWAAGCSAAAGUGAUARKUAUCCCCMCCUGGGGGAGUACGGGC
rnacentral:rRNA from 1 species